CUGGUAGUGGGGGAUAACGUNCGGAANNGGGCGCUAAUACCGCAUACGUCCUNNNGGAGAAAGUGGGGGAUCUUCGGACCUCACGCUAUCAGAUGAGCCUAGGUCGGAUUAGCUAGUUGGUGGGGUAAAGGCNUACCAAGGCGACGAUCCGUAACUGGUCUGAGAGGAUGAUCAGUCACACUGGAACUGAGACACGGUCCAGACUCCUACGGGAGGCAGCAGUGGGGAAUAUUGGACAAUGGGCGAAAGCCUGAUCCAGCCAUGCCGCGUGUGUGAAGAAGGUCUUCGGAUUGUAAAGCACUUUAAGUUGGGAGGAAGGGCAGUAAGUUAAUACCUUGCUGUUUUGACGUUACCNACAGAAUAAGCACCGGCUAACU
rnacentral:rRNA from 1 species